rnacentral:rRNA from 1 species
UACGUAGGGUGCGAGCGUUGUCCGGAAUUACUGGGCGUAAAGAGCUUGUAGGUGGUUUGUCGCGUUGUUCGUGAAAUCUCACGGCUUAACUGUGAGCGUGCGGGCGAUACGGGCAGACUAGAGUACUGCAGGGGGAGACUGGAAUUCCUGGUGUAGCGGUGGAAUGCGCAGAUAUCAGGAGGAACACCGGUGGCGAAGGCGGGUCUCUGGGCAGUAACUGACGCUGAGAAGCGAAAGCGUGGGGGAGCGAACAGG